GCGUCGGGGCGCGGCCGGAGGCUCCCCCACGUGCCGGGCGGGGCCUGACGCCGGGCGUCGGGCCGUUUCGGUUUCAGUUCGCGGCUCUCCGGGACCCCACAGCGCAAAACAAAACAAAACAAAAAACCAAAGACACCAGCGACACGUGCGUCGCAGGCCCGGCCCGGCCCAGAGCGGCUCAGUAGGUCUGAGGCCACCAGGGCGAGGUCCUUGCAGCAUCUCAGAGGCCGAGGUCAAAGCAUCGACCCUCUUGUGCGCCCUGGAGGGAAACAGGAGUAACACCUCUUUCCCCUGGGCCGCAGUCAAGAUUAAAUGCGAUAGUAUCUGUGGACGUCUGGCCUGCAACGGGCACACAAGAAGCUCAGUACUGGAGACCCUGUUUUUGUUGUCACGCCAAGGAAGAUAGAAGGAAACUCAUAGGAAGUUGCCUCAACCCGAUUCUUAAGUAUUUCAACACCCAAGACAUAAAGGCAUAAUAAAGAAGGCAAAUAGAGGAGAAAGGGGA